GGGUUGUGAGGUUAAGCGACUAAGCGUACACGGUGGAUGCCCUGGCAGUCAGAGGCGAUGAAGGACGUGCUAAUCUGCGAAAAGCGUCGGUAAGGUGAUAUGAACCGUUACAGCCGGCGAUGUCCGAAUGGGGAAACCCAGUGCAAUUCGUUGCACUAUCGUUAACUGAAUACAUAGGUUAACGAGGCGAACCGGGGGAACUGAAACAUCUAAGUACCCCGAGGAAAAGAAAUCAACCGAGAUUCCCCCAGUAGCGGCGAGCGAACGGGGAGCAGCCCAGAGUCUGAAUCAGCUUGUGUGUUAGUGGAACGGUCUGGAAAGUCCGACGGUACAGGGUGAUAGUCCCGUACACCAAAAUGCACAGGCUGUGAACUCGAAGAGUAGGGCGGGACACGUGGUAUCCUGUCUGAAUAUGGGGGGACCAUCCUCCAAGGCUAAAUACUCCUGACUGACCGAUAGUGAACCAGUACCGUGAGGGAAAGGCGAAAAGAACCCCGGCGAGGGGAGUGAAAAAGAACCUGAAACCGUGUACGUACAAGCAGUGGGAGCACCUUCGGGUGUGACUGCGUACCUUUUGUAUAAUGGGUCAGCGACUUAUAUUCUGUAGCAAGGUUAACCGUAUAGGGGAGCCGCAGGGAAACCGAGUCUUAACUGGGCGUUAAGUUGCAGGGUAUAGACCCGAAACCCGGUGAUCUAGCCAUGGGCAGGUUGAAGGUUGGGUAACACUAACUGGAGGACCGAACCGACUAAUGUUGAAAAAUUAGCGGAUGACUUGUGGCUGGGGGUGAAAGGCCAAUCAAACCGGGAGAUAGCUGGUUCUCCCCGAAAGCUAUUUAGGUAGCGCCUCGUGAAUUCAUCUUCGGGGGUAGAGCACUGUUUCGGCUAGGGGGUCAUCCCGACUUACCAACCCGAUGCAAACUACGAAUACCGAAGAAUGUUAUCACGGGAGACACACGGCGGGUGCUAACGUCCGUCGUGAAGAGGGAAACAACCCAGACCGCCAGCUAAGGUCCCAAAGUCAUGGUUAAGUGGGAAACGAUGUGGGAAGGCACAGACAGCCAGGAUGUUGGCUUAGAAGCAGCCAUCAUUUAAAGAAAGCGUAAUAGCUCACUGGUCGAGUCGGCCUGCGCGGAAGAUGUAACGGGGCUAAACCAUGCACCGAAGCUGCGGCAGCGACNNNNNNNNNNNNNNNNNNNNNUGCUGGAGGUAUCAGAAGUGCGAAUGCUGACAUAAGUAACGAUAAAGCGGGUGAAAAGCCCGCUCGCCGGAAGACCAAGGGUUCCUGUCCAACGUUAAUCGGGGCAGGGUGAGUCGACCCCUAAGGCGAGGCCGAAAGGCGUAGUCGAUGGGAAACAGGUUAAUAUUCCUGUACUUGGUGUUACUGCGAAGGGGGGACGGAGAAGGCUAUGUUAGCCGGGCGACGGUUGUCCCGGUUUAAGCAUGUAGGCUGGUUGUCCAGGCAAAUCCGGAUAAUCAAGGCUGAGGUGUGAUGACGAGGCACUACGGUGCUGAAGUAACAAAUGCCCUGCUUCCAGGAAAAGCCUCUAAGCAUCAGGUAACAUCAAAUCGUACCCCAAACCGACACAGGUGGUCAGGUAGAGAAUACCAAGGCGCUUGAGAGAACUCGGGUGAAGGAACUAGGCAAAAUGGUGCCGUAACUUCGGGAGAAGGCACGCUGGUGUGUAGGUGAAGUCCCUGCGGAUGGAGCUGAGACCAGUCGAAGAUACCAGCUGGCUGCAACUGUUUAUUAAAAACACAGCACUGUGCAAACACGAAAGUGGACGUAUACGGUGUGACGCCUGCCCGGUGCCGGAAGGUUAAUUGAUGGGGUUAUCCGUAAGGAGAAGCUCUUGAUCGAAGCCCCGGUAAACGGCGGCCGUAACUAUAACGGUCCUAAGGUAGCGAAAUUCCUUGUCGGGUAAGUUCCGACCUGCACGAAUGGCGUAAUGAUGGCCAGGCUGUCUCCACCCGAGACUCAGUGAAAUUGAACUCGCUGUGAAGAUGCAGUGUACCCGCGGCAAGACGGAAAGACCCCGUGAACCUUUACUAUAGCUUGACACUGAACAUUGAGCCUUGAUGUGUAGGAUAGGUGGGAGGCUUUGAAGCGUGGACGCCAGUCUGCGUGGAGCCAACCUUGAAAUACCACCCUUUAAUGUUUGAUGUUCUAACGUUGGCCCCUUACCGGGGUUGCGGACAGUGUCUGGUGGGUAGUUUGACUGGGGCGGUCUCCUCCCAAAGCGUAACGGAGGAGCACGAAGGUUAGCUAAUCCUGGUCGGACAUCAGGAGGUUAGUGCAAUGGCAUAAGCUAGCUUGACUGCGAGCGUGACGGCGCGAGCAGGUGCGAAAGCAGGUCAUAGUGAUCCGGUGGUUCUGAAUGGAAGGGCCAUCGCUCAACGGAUAAAAGGUACUCCGGGGAUAACAGGCUGAUACCGCCCAAGAGUUCAUAUCGACGGCGGUGUUUGGCACCUCGAUGUCGGCUCAUCACAUCCUGGGGCUGAAGUAGGUCCCAAGGGUAUGGCUGUUCGCCAUUUAAAGUGGUACGCGAGCUGGGUUUAGAACGUCGUGAGACAGUUCGGUCCCUAUCUGCCGUGGGCGCUGGAGAAUUGAGGGGGGCUGCUCCUAGUACGAGAGGACCGGAGUGGACGCAUCACUGGUGUUCGGGUUGUCAUGCCAAUGGCACUGCCCGGUAGCUAAAUGCGGAAGAGAUAAGUGCUGAAAGCAUCUAAGCACGAAACUUGCCCCGAGAUGAGUUCUCCCUGAGACUUUAAGUCUCCUGAAGGAACGUGGAAGACGACGACGUUGAUAGGCCGGGUGUGUAAGCGCAGCGAUGCGUUGAGCUAACCGGUACUAA
rnacentral:rRNA from 1 species